AGACGACUCAUUUUUUGUCUGUGACGUCAGAGACAUUGUUCGGAAGGUGGAGCUCUGGCGCCAGCACCUACCACGCAUCAUGCCUUUUUACGCCAUCAAAACAUGUGGAGACCCCGUUCUAAUUGCUGUGCUAGCUUCCCUUGGAGUGAAUUUUGAUUGCUCAAACAUGAACGAAAUUAGAGCAAUACUGGAAAUGGGUGUUCAUCCCGAUCGCAUUAUUUACGCCCACACUAUGAAAAGCACAUCUCACA